rnacentral:rRNA from 1 species
CACGUAGGGCGCAAGCGUUGUCCGGAAUUAUUGGGCGUAAAGAGCUCGUAGGCGGUCUGUUGCGUCUGCUGUGAAAACUCGGGGCUUAACCCCGAGCCUGCAGUGGAUACGGGCAGACUAGAGUGCGGUAGGGGUGACUGGAAUUCCUGGUGUAGCGGUGGAAUGCGCAGAUAUCAGGAGGAACACCGAUGGCGAAGGCAGGUCACUGGGCCGCAACUGACGCUGAGGAGCGAAAGCAUGGGGAGCGAACAGG